AAAUCAUAAUCAUGACUCUAGAAUGGCUAUGAUUUGCUGAUAUAUGUUUGGACUCACUUGAACUGCAGAUGUCUCUCAACAGCUGAUGGAGCUUUUCUAGGGGUGGGAUUUUGGCCCACUUGGCCUCACAUACAAGAUCUUCAUACCAGGUGCUGAUGAAGCUUUGGAUUGUGCUUUGAGAGGUGGAAGAGAAUGACCCUAGAAAAUGGCUUGUGUGGAAAAAUGAUAAAUCGCCUUGGUUCUUUUAGCUAAAGAUGCCCAGCUACGGAUAAAGAGGAUGGGUUUACAAGUUGGAAUGUUCUUACAGGUAUCCUAUGACUAUCACAUGCACACACAUUUGUUUCCUUCUGAAACCUUAGAGGUUGGGGAGUAGUGUGAUUGUACGAACUCUUUUUUUGACCCAUCCACUUCCCUAGUUUUAUAAAUGAAAAUCUUGGAUGUACCCUUAUUUUAUA